UACCGUGAAAAAAUUAGAGUGUUCAAAGCGGGCAGAUAUUUUUCCUGCCACCGAAUACAUUAGCAUGGGAUAAUGGAAUAGGACCCUGACCUCCUAUUUUCAGUUGGUUUUGUUUACAGCGAGGUUAUAUCAGGGUAAUGAUUAAUAGGGAUAGUUGGGGGCAUUAAUAUUUAAUUGUCAGAGGUGAAAUUCUUGGAUUUAUGAAAGAUUAACUUCUGCGAAAGCGUUUGCCAAGGAUGUUUUCAUUAAUCAAGAACGAAAGUUAGGGGAUCGAAGACGAUCAGAUACCGUCGUAGUCUUAACCAUAAACGAUGCCGACCAGCGAUUAGGAGACGUUGAAUACAAAACACCGCCGUUAAUCCUUUCGGGGGUUAAUGGUUGGUGAAUGACUCCCC
rnacentral:rRNA from 1 species